rnacentral:rRNA from 1 species
AGUGAACGCUGGCGGUAGGCCUAACACAUGCAAGUCGAACGGCAGCACAGUAAGAGCUUGCUCCUACGGGUGGCGAGUGGCGGACGGGUGAGGAAUACAUCGGAAUCUACUUUUUCGUGGGGGAUAACGUAGGGAAACUUACGCUAAUACCGCAUACGACAUACGGGUGAAAGCAGGGGAUCUUCGGACCUUGCGCGAAUGAAUGAGCCGAUGUCGGAUUAGCUAGUUGGCGGGGUAAAGGCCCACCAAGGCGACGAUCCGUAGCUGGUCUGAGAGGAUGAUCAGCCACACUGGAACUGAGACACGGUCCAGACUCCUACGGGAGGCAGCAGUGGGGAAUAUUGGACAAUGGGCGCAAGCCUGAUCCAGCCAUACCGCGUGGGUGAAGAAGGCCUUCGGGUUGUAAAGCCCUUUUGUUGGGAAAGAAAAGCAGCAGGUUAAUACCCCGCUGUUCUGACGGUACCCAAAGAAUAAGCACCGGCUAACUUCGUG